AUACGGAGGAUGCGAGCGUUAUCCGGAUUUAUUGGGUUUAAAGGGUGCGUAGGCUGUGCGUUAAGUCAGGGGUGAAAUGCCGUUGCUCAACAUCGGAGCUGCCCUUGAUACUGGCGUGCUGGAGUACGGAUGCCGUUGGAGGAAUGAGUAGUGUAGCGGUGAAAUGCAUAGAUAUUACUCAGAACACCGAUUGCGAAGGCAUCUGACGAAUCCGUAACUGACGCUGAGGCACGAAAGCGUGGGGAUAGAACAGGAUUAGAUCCCCUGGUAUUCCACGCCGUAAACGAUGAUGACUAACCGCCGGCGACAGACCGAUCGGUGGCCAAGCGAAAGCGAUAAGUCAUCCACCUGGGGAGUACGACCGCAAGGUUGAAACUCAAAGGAAUUGACGGGG
rnacentral:rRNA from 1 species